AACCUACUCAGAAACAAGUAACAUGCUGAUGCAAUAAGCUUUGAUGCAGAUGGCAACAGUUUUCCUUUUCGUUUAUUCUACAUUUAUCUUCAUGACUGAAGACAGAAUUCCUCAAGAGCCUUCCCUUUAUCUUUGUGAAUGGAGAAGGAAACAGUUCAGAUUCACCUUCUGUGGAUUUCUUUUCUCCUGGAAAUAUCUUGCACCAACAGCUGUAAUUCUCAGCCUCUGUACUCAGCACACCCUGGGCAGAGAUUCUUUUCCCAAAGCUCAGGCAUCACUAGUGAGUACCAGCAGAAAAGAAAAGAGAUGGAAACAGCCCCAUAGAUGCUGGCACUUAGAGGUUGAAGGAUGAGAAGCUCCUGAGGAGGUGUUUCAGUGAAGUAGCUGGAACCUGAAGACUAGCCACACCCCAGGAAACAAGUGACUAAGAUACACAAGAGAGGGACUGAAAAGCAGCUUCAAAUUCUCUUGACAGGUUGAGUAAAAUGAAGACUGGAUACCGACUUUGGAAUACCAGAGCUCUUUCGUGUUCUUGACUUGAAAAGGUGUAGCUGAGUGGUGGGGGACAAAGCUUGAAUGGACUGAACUUUGACAGGAAGAAGGAGAGGGGCUGGAGACAGAAAGUGUAUAUGAAGCCUUUGAAGGGAUGUUUUACAAAGUGAAGAGAGAUGGAAAAUGUUAAAUACACAAGGCAGCAUGUGUCCAUGGGAAGAGUUCUUAGGUGAAAGAAAUUACAGCAGAUUUAUAUGUUGGGAAUAAUCAGGAGGAAGGGAAGGCUGAUAACACAGAAGACAGAGCUCAGUCACUGGAGCCAUUUGCUUGAUGAGGCAAGAGGAUUUAGAAUACAAUUGUGCAUAUGGGAAUUUUUACAUAGUUUUGAACAAGUGGAUAUUUUAUAAUGUGGAUAUUUUUCAAACUUAUUUUCUACACUUAUUUUCAAUUUUCUGAAAUGAAAAGAUAGAUUUUAAUUAGUUUAUCUGUAAUAGAAGGCAGGAAGCCAAGUGAACAAAUACGAUACAGAUAGGUUGUUAAAUACUGUGGUGGGUGACUAUUGAAGUUCUCUUUUCAUUGCUUAUAUAUUGUAAUUGAAUUGUCAUUAGUUGAGAGUGAGCACUGGGAGCAAAUGUAGAAGUCACAUGAGAAAGAAAUAAGUAUGACUGUUCUAAGAAUGAAUAAGUGGGCCGGUGCCGCGGUUCACUAGGCUAAUCCUCCACCUGCAGAGCCGGCACCCCGGGUUCUAGUCCCUGUCAGGGUGCUGGAUUCUGUCCCAGUUGCUCCUCUUCCAGUCCAGCUCUCUGCUGUGGCCCAGGAGUGCAGUGGAGGAUGGCCCAAGUGCUUGGGCCCUGCACCCCAUGGGAGACCAGGAGAAGCACCUGGCUCCUGGCUUCAGAUCAGCACAGUGCGCCGGCCGUAGUGGCCAUUUGGGGGGUGAACCAACGGAAAAGGAAGUCUUUUCUCUCUGUCUCUUUCUCUCUCACUGUCCACUCGGCCUGUCCAGAAAAAAAAAAAAAAAAAAAAAAAAAAGAGUGAAUAGGCGAAUUGGGUACAUUGAGUGGAUGGCUGAUCAAAGCAUGCUACUCUUUUGAAUUGGGAAUAAUAUUUUUUUUAUCAAUGAUAUCUCUAAAGGGAGUAACUCCUUAUACUACAAAAACUUUAGUGAUUUAAUAAAAUCAGUGCUUGAAUUAAUGAGAAAGAAGCA
rnacentral:lncRNA from 1 species